UACGUAGGCAGCAAGCGUUGUUCAGAAUUACUGGGCGUAAAGAGUGUGUAGGCGGUGCUCUAAGUUCGGUGUGAAAUCUCCCGGCUCAACUGGGAGGGUGCGCCGAAAACUGGAGUGCUGGAGCGCGGGAGAGGAAAGCGGAAUUCCUGGUGUAGCGGUGAAAUGCGUAGAUAUCAGGAGGAACACCGGUGGUGUAAACGGCUUUCUGGACCAUAACUGACGCUGAGGCACGAAAGCGUGGGUAGCAAACAGG
rnacentral:rRNA from 1 species